UUCUUUCAGUCGCUUGGGAUAGCUCAUCGUUUAGCAUGUCCACAUACACAUCAGCAGAAUGGUUCAGUCGAACGUAAGCAUCGUCAUAUUGUUGAAGCUGGUCUUACUCUUUUGGCCCAUGCAUCUGUUCCGUUUCGGUUUUGGAGUGAUGCUUUCACCACUGCAUGCUUUCUCAUCAAUCGUACUCCUACUCGUGUUUUAAACAUGAAGACUCCCAUUGAGGUUCUCCUUAAUGAACAACCUGAUUAUACCUUUCUCAAGGUAUUUGGGUGUGCUUGCUGGCCGCAUCUUCGUCCAUAUAACAAGCGCAAGCUUGAGUUUCGUUCUAAGAAGUGUGUUUUCCUUGGCUAUAGCUCUCUUCAUAAAGGUUACAAAUGUCUUCAUGUUCCCACUAAUCGUGUCUAUAUAUCUCGGGACGUCGUGUUUGAUGAGCAUGUUUUCCCCUUUGCCAACCUUCCUGUGUCCACUGUC
rnacentral:rRNA from 1 species